AUCACUUCUUAGCCUUUUGGCUAAGACCAAGUACAGUACCUGUUCUGAUCAGUUUAGUAUGUGAUAUAUCCUUUAUCCAAGGACAAUAUAUUAAAUGAGUUUUUGGAAUUAGGAGUGGGAAUAGGAGCUUGCACUCUCCACUCCAUACAUCGACCUGUUAAACAAACUUUUUAAAAUUAAUGUAUAUAAA